rnacentral:lncRNA from 1 species
CUUUCUGUUGGCACACAGCUGUCAUCAGUUUUGGGGUUGGGGAAAAAAAGAACUAAAAUUAUCAUCAUAACCUUGAAUUAUCAUUACCUGUGUUAUAGGUAGCUUCUCUGCCUAUAAGAACAGAGAACCCCUAUGCCUCUUAUACUACCAGAAUUCUUUCAAUUAUGGAGAUUUAGGAAAGCAUAUUUCAAGUUUCCUCUGAGGAGAAGGCGAACAUGUUCCUUUCUAAAAUAAUGUUCAUGGAGCCAGUACAAUUUAAUAACUCAUAAGUGCUAAAUAUUUAAAUUUGUGUAAAUUGUAGGUUAUAUGGUCAAAGCAAAUUUAGAUAUGCUUGGCUUGCUUUUAAAAUUUAUUAUUAUCCCCCUACAUUUGGACCUUCUUAUAUAUCAAACCUUUGUUUUUCUCUUAAUUGUCCUUCCUGAAUGAUUUUACUCACUAAUAGCAGUUAGUUCCUUUUCCCCAUGUUUCCACAUGUGUUCCAGGGGUAAUUUUGAUCCCUUAAUGAAUUUACUUCCGCAAAACUUAAUAUCCAUCUCCUUCCUCAAAAUGUUUCUCAAGUUCUGCCUCACUGUUGAACAAAUAGGGAUAAGACCUGUGUUUUCAUGGAUAUGAAAAAUGCAAUGGAUGAGGAAACUCUUUCUAAUGAUUCAGGCCAACACCUCAGAAACUCAUCUUCUCCAAGUGUUGCCUUGAACACUGAGAAGUUAAGUGAUUUCCCAUGGUCACACCAACAGUAAAGUGAAACUGGAAUCCACUUCUUCUUGACUGUGGGGAUGGACCUCUGUAGUCAUCUUGAAGAUAGUCAGUAUACCUGGGAGAUGUAUUUCCCAAUGAAACAGAAGGUGAAUAAGCAUCUUCCAACAUGCUUGCCUGAGUCAAUGUCAGAAAGAAAUCGUUAUACCAUUCAUGAGUUUUAUUCCCAAGGACUUGGCAUUGGGUUGGGAGAAUCAAGGCUUCAGCAUAACAAAGAACAUGUAGAGAAGGGGGAAAAAGGCAUGAAAAAUCACAAUGAUAUGCUUGUGCUGACAACUGAGUACCUUGGAAAAUUCCAUAUCUACUAA